ensembl:lncRNA novel transcript
GAGAGAGAGAAACAUAUAUUAUAUAUUAUAUAGAGAGAGGGAGGAGAGCGAGAGAGAGUGAGGACACCGAACUGGGCUGGCGGCUCCAAAGCACAGCCUUCCCUGUUCCGUCCCAGCGGGAGCUGGUGUUAGGGGUCCCAAGGUUGCCACCCACGUGCCCAGCUGUCCCACGCUGCAGCGCAGACGGCCACGCCCACACCCGGCCUUUUAGCUCAGGUCCACCAUGGGGGACGGCCCAGCGUGGGUGGGGGUGCCAGAGGGUCCCGAGUGGGGGCCGUGCCUUUGCCCAGACCCUGCACUUUCAACCAGGCCAGUCCGGCUCUGGGGAGCAGGGGCCUCCCCGGCAACAGCCCCAGGGGCCUUGAGGGUCUGAGGUCCCAGCCCUGUUGCCAAGUGACCUUGUCCCCAGCUCCCUCCUCCCAGGCUGGUGUGAGUGUGCGUGCGUUUGUGCCGAGCUUCUAUUUCAUAUUGCAAAUAUAAAUAAAGGAAGGCAGUUUACGAUUCUGCUGGUCAGACCUUACGUUCUGGGAUGCGGGGUGGGGAGCCUGUAUUAUCCCUGCACCCCAGAGGCUGGGGGUGCUCCUGACCCAGUCUGCCCCCACACUGUCCUGCCAGAGGGAGCCCUGUGGCUGCAGAGGCCCCAGGCUGGGCCAGGCACUGGCUGUGAGGGCUCCUGCCAGGUCUACCCCACCUGUGGGCAGGGCCUUGGGCAGAGGAUAGAAGCCACCGACAGGCUCAAAUCCCUGCUCCUGCCCCUGCUUACCCCCAGUAACCAAGCCCAGCAUUGAGGCUGGGUACUGGCGCCCAGUAGGUCUGAGUCUUUCAGGUAGAAGGUAGAAGUGUAGGCUGCGUGUGCAGCGAGUGGCACCGGUGAGCGGCGCUGGGAAACCGGAGCGUGUGGACCGGGCCAUGAGGACAGCGUCCUCACUGGGGUGGCAGUUGGCUUGGAGGUCACCUGGGGGCUCGCUCAGCUAACAGGAGAGGGUGCUUGUUCCCCGCAUUCGUGGUGGUCCCUCCUGGUCACCCAUUGAAGCAGUGUUUGUGGUGGAGCCCCUGAGGGCUUGGUGGGGUUGAGCAGAAUGAGGAAAGGUUUCAUGGAGCAGGGAGGGAGACGGCUAGGGCAGCAAGUGAAGGACAGACUCGCCUUCCCAUCCCUCCAGGGGCACUCCUGCCAGCCAGCCCCUCUCCCGCUUCCCAUGAUGGGGUGGCUGUUGGAAUUCUGCACCCCAUCUCUUCUGAUUGUUGGGGCCCAGGACAAGGGGACAGGCAUUUGUGGGCCUAACCUCCCCAGGCAGAUAGGAGGAGGAAGCCAUGUCCCAGCAGGCUAGGGCAGAGGGACCCCCAGUGCCAACAGUGCUUUAUCAGCGGGCGCCAGGCAGGGCCAUCCCCAGGGUGAGGACAACAUCUCCCUGGGCCCUGUUAUCAGUCACAGAGUCCACAGGACGCUCCUUGGGUUAACGUGUAACCAUGAGCCCUCCCCUCCACCCCCUGAAGCCACUCGCUCCCAGAUUAGGUCGCUCUGGGGCUAUCAGGCCAGCAUGGACGCUGGCAAAGCGGGGCAGACCCUGAAGACUCACUGCUCAGCCCAGGUGAGAGCCUUCUGAGCUGUGCCUGGGGCUGGGGGGACAGGGCCCUGGAACCCCAGCAGCCGGCGGGUCUGGGAGCUGCUGUCCUUGAGUUGGUUGGGCCCUGGGAAGCUGGGUUCUGGCAGCCUGGUCCCUGAAUGGGUCCAGCCUGUACAGCUGGGGUCCCAGGUGGGGGUGGGACAGGAGCCAUGAGAUCUGAGUCCCAAGAAUGGGGGCUGGGCUGGGUUUCGGCUCAGUAGCUCCCCACUCCCCAAAGCGCCCAGAUGUCUGCAGGUGGCUGAGCCCCUUCAUCCUCUCCUGCUGCGUGUACUUCUGCCUCUGGAUUCCCGAGGACCAGCUGUCCUGGUUCGCUGCCCUGGUCAAGUGCCUGCCCGUCCUCUGCCUGGCUGGGUUCCUGUGGGUCAUGUCCCCAAGCGGGGGCUACACCCAGCUCCUCCAGGGAGCCCUUGUGUGCUCGGCUGUGGGGGACGCUUGCCUCAUCUGGCCGGCAGCCUUCGUCCCUGGUGAGUGGAAGGUGCUGUGACGCUUUCCAGAUGCCCGUGUGAGAGAGGCCCCAGCACUUGGAUGGGAGCCUGGGUGCAGAGGGCUCCUGUGAGAGCUCCAGUGGUCAAAGGCACAGUGGGGGGCGCAGCCGUGACCGAGGCAGCUCACGCUCCAGCGAGGGGUGGGGGCAGGCGGUGUUAGGGCAGUAGCUGAGGUGGCGCAGAGGGCAGUGAGGACCUGCUGGAGGUACUGCAGUUUGAAGCAGGGUUGCUGAGGAAGGCCUCACUGAGGAAGUCACAUUUGGGCAGAGCUGAAGGGCUGUAUGCCUGUGUGGAGGAAGGGCGAGUGUAAAGGCUCCGGGGCAGGGACGUGUCAGGUGCUUGUAGCCCAGCAGGCCAGGGUGGCUGGCGCAGAGUGGCUGGAGAGCUGGAGGCCAUGGGGCUUUGGAGGCCAAGGGAAGGUGGGGCCUCCUGGCAGUUCUGAGCAGAGCAAGGAUGGACACUGCAUGUGGGGAGACCUGCAAGGAGGCUCGGCCAGGGUGGGGCCUGGUGCUCUGGGAUGGUCCUUCUCUUAGGCCCUGAGGGGUGACCUCGGGGCCAUUCCCAGGAUGGGCCUUCCUCACUGGUACCCCACCCCUCUCCCGCCAGGCAUGGCCGCCUUUGCCACCGCCCACCUCCUCUACGUCUGGGCCUUCGGCUUCUCUCCCCUGCAGCCCGGCCUGCUGCUGCUCAUCAUCCUGGCCCCUGGCCCCUACCUCAGCCUUGUGCUCCAGCACCUCGAGCCGGAUAUGGUCCUGCCGGUGGCAGCCUAUGGGCUGAUCCUGAUGGCCAUGCUGUGGCGCGGCCUGGCCCAGGGCGGGAGUGCCGGCUGGGGCGCGCUGCUCUUCACGCUCUCUGAUGGCGUGCUGGCCUGGGACACCUUCGCCCAGCCCCUGCCCCAUGCCCACCUGGUGAUCAUGACCACCUACUAUGCUGCCCAGCUCCUCAUCACAC